UCCGGUAUGGUGUAACGGCUAACAUUGCCGCCUUUCAUCUGUGGUUCUUCCAUGUUGGGUACGCGGCAGCUCGGGGUUCGAUUCCCCGUACCGGAA